rnacentral:tRNA from 1 species
GCAUUAAUGGGGUAGUGGUAACCUGGGUCGUUGCCAUUUCGAACAAAUAGUUCGACCCGCCGGGGGUUCGAUUCCCCCUUAAUGCA